GGAGAGGUGCCGGAGCGGCUGAACGGGCCGGUUUCGAAAACCGGUGUGCCUUCGGGCACCGCGGGUUCGAAUCCCGCCCUCUCCG
rnacentral:tRNA from 1 species